rnacentral:lncRNA from 1 species
UGGGAGGAGAUGGCUGGACAAGAGCUCGAGUUGUCUACGUACCCUUGUCGAGAGAGCAAGCCUUAACGUAGUUUGAUUAUUUUUUACUUUAUUCGCGGGAUCAUGUAAUCUGUAGCUUGUGUACACGAAUGUAUACUUUCUUUUAGCGUAGCCGUACUUCUUGCUCGACUUCGGUAGGAAAUUUAGGAUGAUGGGCAUCCGAUUUCUUUGAAGCUUGCUAGAUAGCAAGUCCUCGACCUC